rnacentral:rRNA from 1 species
UACGAAGGGGGCGAGCGUUGUUCGGAUUUACUGGGCGUAAAGCGUGCGUAGACGGUCAUGUAAGUCGGGUGUGAAAGCCCCGGGCUCAACCUGGGAAUUGCAUUCGAGACUGCAAGGCUAGGGUGCGGAAGAGGGAAGCGGAAUUUCCGGUGUAGCGGUGAAAUGCGUAGAUAUCGGAAGGAACAUCAGUGGCGAAAGCGGCUUCCUGGUCCAGCACCGACGUUCAGGCACGAAAGCGUGGGGAGCAAACAGG